UACAGUUUGCGCUCUGUGAGGGAGCUUUGGCC
rnacentral:piRNA from 1 species